rnacentral:rRNA from 1 species
GCGCAGCAGUCGAGAAUCCUUUACAAUGUCUUCACGGACGAUAGGGGAAUCCUGAGUGCUCUAGCAUUGCUAGAGCUUUUGCUUACUGAAAAAAGGUAGGCGAAUAAGUGGUGGGUAAGACGGGUGCCAGCCGCCGCGGGUAAUACCCGCGCCACAAGUGGUGACCACGUUUAUUGGGUCUAAAGCGUUCGUAGCCGGCCUGAU